AUACGAAUGGAGCAAGCGUUGUUCGGAAUCACUGGGCGUAAAGCGUACGUAGGCGGAUUUUUAAGUCAGAAGUGAAAGCCCAGGGCUCAACCCUGGAACUGCUUUUGAAACUGGAAGUCUAGAGUCCCGGAGAGGUUAGGGGAAUUCCGAGUGUAGCAGUGAAAUGCGCAGAUAUUCGGAGGAACACCAGUGGCGUAGGCGCCUAACUGGACGGGAACUGACGCUGAGGUACGAAAGCGUGGGGAGCAAACGGGAUUAGAAACCCUAGUAGUCC
rnacentral:rRNA from 1 species